GACGAACGCUGGCGGCGUGCUUAACACAUGCAAGUCGAACGGGCCUGUCUUCUUUUUUGGGGGGUGGGUUGAGUGGCGAACGGGUGAGUAUCACGUGAGUAACCUGCCCUUCGGUCCUGGAUAACCGCUUGAAAGGGCGGCUAAUACGGGGUGGUCCGGUUGGUCCGCAUGGGCUGGUCGGGAUAGAUUCACUGUUUUUGGUGUUUCGGCGGGGGAUGGGCUCGCGGCCUAUCAGCUUGUUGGUGGGGUGAUGGCCUACCAAGGCGGUGACGGGUAGCCGGCCGGAGAGGGUGGGCGGCCACACUGGGACGGAGAUACGGCCCAGACUCCUGCGGGAGGCAGCAGUGGGGGGUAUUGCACAAUGGGCGGAAGCCUGAUGCAGCGACGUCGCGUGAGGGAUGGAGGCCUUCGGGUUGUGAACCUCUGUUUCCGGUGGUGAAGGCCCUGUCCGUGUGGUGGGGUUGACGGUAGCCGGGGAUGAAGCGCCGGCUAACUACGUG
rnacentral:rRNA from 1 species